GACGAACGCUGGCGGCGUGCUUAACACAUGCAAGUCGAGCGGUAAGGCCCUUUCGGGGGUACGACGAGCGGCGAACGGGUGAGUAACACGUGGGUGACCUGCCCUCAGCUCUGGGAUAAGCCUGGGAAACCGGGUCUAAUACUGGAUAUGACUCCAUGACGCAUGUUGUGGGGUGGAAAGCCUUGUGCGGCUGAGGAUGGGCCCGCGGCCUAUCAGCUUGUUGGUGGGGGAUGGCCUACCAAGGCGACGACGGGUAGCCGGCCUGAGAGGGCGACCGGCCACACUGGGACUGAGACACGGCCCAGACUCCUACGGGAGGCAGCAGUGGGGAAUCUUGCGCAAUGGGCGAAAGCCUGACGCAGCGACGCCGCGUGAGGGAUGACGGCCUGGUGUAAC
rnacentral:rRNA from 1 species